rnacentral:rRNA from 1 species
AUUGAACGCUGGCGGCAGGCCUAACACAUGCAAGUCGAGCGAGCGGCGGACGGGUGAGUAAUGUAUGGGGAUCUGCCCGAUAGAGGGGGAUAACUACUGGAAACGGUGGCUAAUAGCGCAUACUAUCGGAUGAACCCAGAUGGGAUUAGCUAGUAGGUGGGGUAAAGGCUAACCUAGGCAACGAUCUCUAGCUGGUCUGAGAGGAUGAUCGGCCACAGUGGGACGUGGACACGGCCCAGACUCCUACGUGAGGCAGCAGUGGGGAAUAUUGCACAAGGGGCGCAAGCCUGAUGCAGCCAUGCCGCGUGUGUGAAGAAGGCCUUCGGGUUGUAAAGCACUUUCAGCGGGGAGGCGUUACUCGCAGAAGAAGCACCGGCUAACUCCGUGCCAGCAGCCGCGGUAAUUC